rfam:Ovis aries breed Texel chromosome 14, whole genome shotgun sequence.
UGGCUCAGAGGUUAAAGUGUCUGCCUCCAAUGCAGGAGACCCAGGUUCGAUCCCUGG